rnacentral:rRNA from 1 species
GGAGCUUGCUCCCUGAAGUCAGCGGCGGACGGGUGAGUAACACGUGGGCAACCUGCCUGUAAGACUGGGAUAACUCCGGGAAACCGGGGCUAAUACCGGAUAACUCUUUUCCUCACAUGAGGAAAAGCUGAAAGAUGGUUUCGGCUAUCACUUACAGAUGGGCCCGCGGCGCAUUAGCUAGUUGGUGAGGUAACGGCUCACCAAGGCCACGAUGCGUAGCCGACCUGAGAGGGUGAUCGGCCACACUGGGACUGAGACACGGCCCAGACUCCUACGGGAGGCAGCAGUAGGGAAUCUUCCGCAAUGGACGAAAGUCUGACGGAGCAACGCCGCGUGAGUGAUGAAGGUUUUCGGAUCGUAAAACUCUGUUGUCAGGGAAGAACAAGUACCGGAGUAACUGCCGGUACCUUGACGGUACCUGACCAGAAAGCCACGGCUAACUACGUGCCAGCAGCCGCGGUAAUACGUAGGUGGCAAGCGUUGUCCGGAAUUAUUGGGCGUAAAGCGCGCGCAGGCGGUUCCUUAAGUCUGAUGUGAAAGCCCCCGGCUCAACCGGGGAGGGUCAUUGGAAACUGGGGAACUUGAGUGCAGAAGAGAAGAGUGGAAUUCCACGUGUAGCGGUGAAAUGCGUAGAGAUGUGGAGGAACACCAGUGGCGAAGGCGACUCUUUGGUCUGUAACUGACGCUGAGGCGCGAAAGCGUGGGGAGCAAACAGGAUUAGAUACCCUGGUAGUCCACGCCGUAAACGAUGAGUGCUAAGUGUUAGAGGGUUUCCGCCCUUUAGUGCUGCAGCAAACGCAUUAAGCACUCCGCCUGGGGAGUACGGCCGCAAGGCUGAAACUCAAAGGAAUUGACGGGGGCCCGCACAAGCGGUGAGCAUGUGGUUUAAUUCGAAGCA